GUCUACCUUUACUCGCUAGAUAGACCGUCCUCGCUACAUUUUACUUCUUGACCUCUCUAUAUAAUCUUAUUUGUUUCAUUCUGUUCUACAUUUUUUCUGUCCAGGGUCACAAGUGUGAAAGACAUUUUGCCAGAGUGUCCACAAGCUGGUGGGGGCGGCGGUAGUGGUCCGCUGACGUCACAAAUAUGGGGAAGGGGGACAUUUCUCGAAGGAUUGUCCACAAGAGGGUCGCGGCGGUGGUGGAAGUCGUACCUCCCAUGACAUAAACAGAAAAAAAAAAAAACAUAAUUUUUAGUGCUCAUUUUUAAUGAAGAAGAGGGCAAUAUAGCAAGGGAUUUUCCUCAAGGAGGAAGCAUUGGUGGCAGCAACUGUUACGAUUGUAGUGAAGCUGACCACACCUCGAAAGGCUGCCCGAAUCUCUUCAGUGAAUUGACGGAAGAUGGAAAGCCACAUGAGCAAUACAUUCCAGAAGCUGUGACAUGUGAUGAAAAGGAACUGUUUAAGGGCAUUGUCUAUGUGGGACGCUUUAACAAUUUUGAUAAAGUCGUCCUCCAUGCUACAGGAAAAGAUGUACUUCAAUACAUAACAUCAUUCGAAGAAGCCGGCCUGCGUCAACUACUACUUCAAAACAUUAAGAAUUCUGGCUACAUAAAACCAACACCUGUUCAGAAAGCUUCCGUUGUAGUUAUUCUUGCCAAAAGAGGUUUAAUUGCUUGUGUGGUCACGGG